GGGUUUGUGACUCAAUGGUAGAGUACUUGCCUAGCAUGUGUGAGGCACUGGGUUCAAUUCUCAGCACCA
rnacentral:tRNA from 1 species